GUACCGUGAGGGAAAGGCGAAAAGAACCCCGGCGAGGGGAGUGAAAAAGAACCUGAAACCGUGUACGUACAAGCAGUGGGAGCCUCUUUAUGGGGUGACUGCGUACCUUUUGUAUAAUGGGUCAGCGACUUAUAUUCUGUAGCAAGGUUAACCGUAUAGGGGAGCCGAAGGGAAACCGAGUCUUAACUGGGCGUUAAGUUGCAGGGUAUAGACCCGAAACCCGGUGAUCUAGCCAUGGGCAGGUUGAAGGUUGGGUAACACUAACUGGAGGACCGAACCGACUAAUGUUGAAAAAUUAGCGGAUGACCUGUGGCUGGGGGUGAAAGGCCAAUCAAACCGGGAGAUAGCUGGUUCUCCCCGAAAGCUAUUUAGGUAGCGCCUCGUGAACUCAUCUUCGGGGGUAGAGCACUGUUUCGGCUAGGGGGCCAUCCCGGCUUACCAACCCGAUGCAAACUACGAAUACCGAAGAAUGUUAUCACGGGAGACACACGGCGGGUGCUAACGUCCGUCGUGAAGAGGGAAACAACCCAGACCGCCAGCUAAGGUCCCAAAGUCAUGGUUAAGUGGGAAACGAUGUGGGAAGGCACAGACAGCCAGGAUGUUGGCUUAGAAGCAGCCAUCAUUUAAAGAAAGCGUAAUAGCUCACUGGUCGAGUCGGCCUGCGCGGAAGAUGUAACGGGGCUAAACCAUGCACCGAAGCUGCGGCAGCGACACUAUGUGUUGUUGGGUAGGGGAGCGUUCUGUAAGCCGUCGAAGGUGUGCUGUGAGGCAUGCUGGAGGUAUCAGAAGUGCGAAUGCUGACAUAAGUAACGAUAAAGCGGGUGAAAAGCCCGCUCGCCGGAAGACCAAGGGUUCCUGUCCAACGUUAAUCGGGGCAGGGUGAGUCGACCCCUAAGGCGAGGCCGAAAGGCGUAGUCGAUGGGAAACAGGUUAAUAUUCCUGUACUUGGUGUUACUGCGAAGGGGGGACGGAGAAGGCUAUGUCAGCCGGGCGACGGUUGUCCCGGUUUAAGCAUGUAGGCGGAGGUUCCAGGUAAAUCCGGUACCUUAUUAACGCUGAGGUGUGAUGACGAGGCACUACGGUGCUGAAGUGAUAAAUGCCCUGCUUCCAGGAAAAGCCUCUAAGCAUCAGGUAACACGAAAUCGUACCCCAAACCGACACAGGUGGUCAGGUAGAGAAUACCAAGGCGCUUGAGAGAACUCGGGUGAAGGAACUAGGCAAAAUGGUGCCGUAACUUCGGGAGAAGGCACGCUGAUAUGUAGGUGAAGUCCCUGCGGACGGAGCUGAAAUCAGUCGAAGAUACCAGCUGGCUGCAACUGUUUAUUAAAAACACAGCACUGUGCAAACACGAAAGUGGACGUAUACGGUGUGACGCCUGCCCGGUGCCGGAAGGUUAAUUGAUGGGGUUAGCGGCAACGCGAAGCUCUUGAUCGAAGCCCCGGUAAACGGCGGCCGUAACUAUAACGGUCCUAAGGUAGCGAAAUUCCUUGUCGGGUAAGUUCCGACCUGCACGAAUGGCGUAAUGAUGGCCAGGCUGUCUCCACCCGAGACUCAGUGAAAUUGAACUCGCUGUGAAGAUGCAGUGUACCCGCGGCAAGACGGAAAGACCCCGUGAACCUUUACUAUAGCUUGACACUGAACACUGGUCCUUGAUGUGUAGGAUAGGUGGGAGGCUUUGAAGCGUGGACGCCAGUCUGCGUGGAGCCAACCUUGAAAUACCACCCUUUAAUGGCUGGUGUUCUAACGUAGACCCGUAAUCCGGGUUGCGGACAGUGUCUGGUGGGUAGUUUGACUGGGGCGGUCUCCUCCCAAAGAGUAACGGAGGAGCACGAAGGUUGGCUAAUCCUGGUCGGACAUCAGGAGGUUAGUGCAAUGGCAUAAGCCAGCUUGACUGCGAGCGUGACGGCGCGAGCAGGUGCGAAAGCAGGUCAUAGUGAUCCGGUGGUUCUGAAUGGAAGGGCCAUCGCUCAACGGAUAAAAGGUACUCCGGGGAUAACAGGCUGAUACCGCCCAAGAGUUCAUAUCGACGGCGGUGUUUGGCACCUCGAUGUCGGCUCAUCACAUCCUGGGGCUGAAGUAGGUCCCAAGGGUAUGGCUGUUCGCCAUUUAAAGUGGUACGCGAGCUGGGUUUAGAACGUCGUGAGACAGUUCGGUCCCUAUCUGCCGUGGGCGCUGGAGAAUUGAGGGGGGCUGCUCCUAGUACGAGAGGACCGGAGUGGACGCAUCACUGGUGUUCGGGUUGUCAUGCCAAUGGCACUGCCCGGUAGCUAAAUGCGGAAAAGAUAAGUGCUGAAAGCAUCUAAGCACGAAACUUGCCCCGAGAUGAGUUCUCCCUGAGACUUUAAGUCUCCUGAAGGAACGUUGAAGACGACGACGUUGAUAGGUCGGGUGUGUAAGCGCAGCGAUGCGUUGAGCUAACCGAUACUAAUGAACCGUGAGGCUUAACCUU
rnacentral:rRNA from 1 species